UUGGACGGCAGUCUGUGCAGCAGCGCGGUAUUCAGCUCCAAUAGCGUAUAUUAAAGUGUGCAGUAAAAGCUCGUAGUUGAAUUUCGGGGUUCAUACGUUGGGUCGGGCUAUUUGGGUCUGUACUUAUGUAAUGGAUUCCUACCUUCUGGGAUAACCGGGCAUGUCAUUAAUUUUGGUGCGCCGGGGAAGCAGGACUGUUACCUUGAAAAAAUUAGAGUGCUUAAAGCAGGCUAUCGCCUGAAUACAUUAGCAUGGAAAUAAUGAAAUAGGACGGCAUGGGUUCUAUUUUGUUGGUUUCUAGGGAUCACCGUAAUGAUUAAUAGGGAUAGUUGGGGGCAUUAGUAUUCAAUUGUCAGAGGUGAAAUUCUUGGAUUUAUUGAAGACUAACUUCUGCGAAAGCAUUUGCCAAGGAUGUUUUCAUUAAUCAAGAACGAAAGUUGGGGGAUCGAAGACGAUCAGAUACCGUCGUAGUCUUAACCAUAAACUAUGCCGACUAGGGAUCGGACGAUGUUAAUUUUUUAAUGACUCGUUCGGCGCCUUACGGGAAAC
rnacentral:rRNA from 1 species